CAGGAAGACAACACCUUCUCAUAUCUACUUUAGACCCUGUUGGGCUUCAGGAAACAGUUAUAAUUAAAACCCACGGGCCCAAAAUCGCUUCCAUCAGGCCAGCACCACUCCGGAACAAAGGGCAACCGGCGGCGAACAGAGAUCGACAAAGGCAAUCUGAGUCGUCGAGGGAGAAGAAACAUGGCCUCGUUUGGUUCUCUAAAAUCCACGAUAUUCGAAAGAGAAGAGAGAAAACAGCAGUAUCAGGCGCAUAUUCGAGGCCUCAAUGCAUACGAUCGCCACAAAAAAUUCAUAAAAGAUUAUGUUAGUUUCUACAGGCAAGAUAAACCUUCAAAUAUAAAGUUGCCUAUCAAAACAGAUCAAGACACACUAAGAGAAGGAUACAGAUUCAUACGCUCCGAGGAAGAUGAUAUGGAUUCAUCAUGGGAACAAAGGCUGGUGAAGCGUUAUUAUGAUAAGCUUUUUAAAGAAUACUGCCUUGCUGACAUGUCGCAGUACAAGAGUGGUAAGAUUGGUCUCAGGUGGAGGACAGAGAAGGAAGUCAUGUCAGGCAAAGGGCAGUUCAUAUGCGGUAACAAGCAUUGUGAUGAGAGAAAUGGAUUAGCCAGCUAUGAAGUUAACUUUUGUUACUUCGAAGCUGGAGAAAACAAACAAGCAUUGGUUAAAUUGGUAGCAUGUGAGAGAUGUGCAGAGAAACUUAACUACAAAAGGCAAAAAGAGAAGGAACAAUUACAGAAAAGAGUACAAGAAGAGGAUAGAAGAAAGAGGAACCGGUCAAAGAGUGCUGAUGAUCUAGAUGAGUUCCAAGAAAGCAAAGAUAGAAGACGGAAAGAUGGUGAAACUGGUAGAAUUUUGCAUUCGUGGUUUAAGUAGGAUGAUAUGGAGUUGGGGUUGCACCAAUUAUAGAGAAGAUGGUGGAAUUUUGUCUGAGAUGGGAUGGACGUGUUUGGAGAAGGUAUGCUGAGUAUUGAGGCUCCAAUUCAAAAGUUGGAUCACAUGAAAGGUAAAAAGGCUGCCAUUGAUGAUGAAGAUAACUUCGACGAGUUUCUCGAGGAGAUGUUCCCCUGAUCAUGAUUGGCUCAGGAAUGCAAGAGAUACACAAGAUUAGGCAUUCAUAGGACAGCCAUUCUUACUGAUAAUCAGUAAAACCGCUCAGAGAAUGUUGUGGCAACUAUGAUUAUGUAUAUCUAUAAUAUGGUAGGUAAAUUUUUAUUGUGCACGAUACAUUGAAUGGCUUACCUAUGUAGUGUAAAUAAAGUAGCUUUGCAAAAGGAACUAAUUACUUGGUACUGGGAAAAACCACAUUUAGUAUGUGUAUUGAAAAAUUUAUGACUGCUGGGACCAAACAAGGGGAAGGGGUUGUUAUUCCAUUUGGGAGUAAGAUAUUCAUCCAUUUUAUAGUGAUAAAAUAACUAUUAUUAUUUACAAAGAGAAAAAUCUUUUUUUUUUUUU